rnacentral:rRNA from 1 species
GAUGAACGCUGGCGGCGUGCCUAAUACAUGCCAGUCGAGCGAACGGACGAGAAGCUUGCUUUUCUGAUGUUAGCGGCGGACGGGUGAGUAACACGUGGAUAACCUACCUAUAAGACUGGGAUAACUUCGGGAAACCGGAGCUAAUACCGGAUAAUAUUUUGAACCGCAUGGUUCAAAAGUGAAAGACGGUCUUGCUGUCACUUAUAGAUGGAUCCGCGCUGCAUUAGCUAGUUGGUAAGGUAACGGCUUACCAAGGCAACGAUGCAUAGCCGACCUGAGAGGGUGAUCGGCCACACUGGAACUGAGACACGGUCCAGACUCCUACGGGAGGCAGCAGUAGGGAAUCUUCCGCAAUGGGCUAAAGCCUGACGGAGCAACGCCGCGUGAGUGAUGAAGGUCUUCGGAUCGUAAAACUCUGUUAUUAGGGAAGAACAUAUGUGUAAGUAACUGUGCACAUCUUGACGGUACCUAAUCAGAAAGCCACGGCUAACUACGUG